GAAAGGAGGGCUAAUACCGCAUAACAUCUCGAGCUCUUCGGCGCCUGAGAUCAAAGCUUGCCUCUUCUUGAAAAGCAAGCGCCUGUGGAGGGGCCCGCGCCCCAUUAGCUUGUUGGUGAGGUAACGGCUCACCAAGGCUGCGAUGGGUAGCCGGCCUGAGAGGGUGAUCGGCCACACUGGAACUGAGACACGGUCCAGACUCCUACGGGAGGCAGCAGUGAGGAAUUUUGCGCAAUGGGCGAAAGCCUGACGCAGCGACGCCGCGUGGAGGACGAAGGUCUUCGGAUCGUAAACUCCUGUCAAGCGGGACGAAGUCCGUGCGGAUGAAUAAGUCGUACGGUUGACGGUACCGCUGGAGGAAGCCCCGGCUAACUCCGUGCCAGCAGCCGCGGUAAUACGGAGGGGGCCAGCGUUGUUCGGAAUUAUUGGGCGUAAAGGGCGCGUAGGCGGCUAAGCAAGUCAAAGGUGAAAUCCCUCGGCUCAACCGAGGAACUGCCCUCUGAUACUGCUUGGGCUUGAGUCCCGGAAAAGGUAGUGGAAUUCCCAGUGUAGCGGUGAAAUGCGUAAA
rnacentral:rRNA from 1 species